rnacentral:piRNA from 1 species
UCACAUAGGCCACCAGCAGGUGUCUCUGGGA